rnacentral:rRNA from 1 species
UGAGGAAUAUUGGUCAAUGGGCGAGAGCCUGAACCAGCCAAGUCGCGUGAAGGAAGAAGGAUCUAUGGUUCGUAAACUUCUUUUGCAGGGGCGUAAAGUGCAGGACGUGUCCUGUUUUGUAUGUACCCUGAGAAUAAGGAUCGGCUAACUCCGUGCCAGCAGCCGCGGUAAUACGGAGGAUCCGAGCGUUAUCCGGCUUUAUUGGGUUUAAAGGGUGCGUAGGUGGUUUGAUAAGUCAGCGGUGAAAGUUUGCAGCUUAACUGUAAAAAUGCCGUUGAAACUGUCGGACUUGAGUGUAAAUGAGGUAGGCGGAAUGCGUGGUGUAGCGGUGAAAUGCAUAGAUAUCACGCAGAACUCCGAUUGCGAAGGCAGCUUACUAAGCUACAACUGACACUGAAGCACGAAAGCGUGGGGAUCAAACA